UUGACUUGAAGUUGGUGUCAAUGCAAAGGGAUCAAGAGUCACUGUUCUGACGGCCAAUAAUAUGAUGCAUGAAAAUUCCUUCAGCAACCCAAAUAAUGUUGUGUUGACUACCGAUGGGCAACAAGCCAUGAUGCUAAAAUUUAGUUUGUUCAACUUUUUGU